GCAUGCUUAGGGAAUACGCAUAUUCCACUUCUUUUUAUUGCUGUCGAAGAAACCAAGUACUGCUUGAUUUGUAAAUGCUCUAUUACUUCCUUGCUUUAUGCCUUAUUCAACCGUUAUACUACUGCUAGUUAGUAUUUUCUACCCUCAGGUUUAUUGGCUACAUACAACUUGUUGCCGUGAGUCGAGAUCUCACCGACAACGCCGGUGAGGGAUGCAAUCCUCUAUGGCAGCUGGUGGCUGAGUCGUGUACACUACGAGUGUGAUUGCCGUUAUGGACGCGUGCGAUCCACUGACAAGCUUGCUAUGCGAAUUGCUGGCUACGACCGACGCGAGGGUGUGGGUGUCUCUGACAUCCGAGGCUGAGUGAAAUAUAAAGAGGCUCUGUGAAGCGAUCUGUUACGGUGAAUGCCCAGUGUUGUGCGGAGGGCAACGUCUUAUAUGCCCACAUCCGCGUUCGGUUGCCAACGAAUCUACCCUGUUUGUCUUUUACGUUGUUUGCGAGCCAUAUGCAGAGGGCCUCUGGUGCUUUGGUCAGCCAUGAAAUGUGCAGGGGCGGUUGAUGUGGUCUAUUAUUAUCCAUCAUUA
rnacentral:sRNA from 2 species